AAAUGUUUAAUAUUUAUAAAAGAUAUUAAAAACACGAUUUCUUUACAUUUUUUUAUUAAUGCUGCAGAUGCCACCGUGGAAAGAGCGCAGUGAUAGUGAACAGGUGUUUUUGAGUCAUAACUAUUACUUUAUUGUGUCAUUUAGCACGCUUGAACUCUGCACUGACCAAUCAGCACUCAGGACUGGAGCCAUCAGUUUUCUCAUUUUAGUUUCCGGUGCACUGCCUCUCUUCUCUCUCUCCCUCUGUCUUUUGCAGGAGCAAGUUAGCAGAGGGGUCUUGGUGGCAGAUGGGCAGGAGUAUCAGGGAUUGACUAAUCCCAAAUCUGCCGUCUCCUCACCACACCGAAACCAGGGGAGAGGCACGAGCCAGCUGCCACAUAGACGCCUUUCAUGCUCGUCUGCACACAACAGCUGCAGCAGGCCUGCCUGCUUGCUUCUAAAUUAUUAAACAUCUUUUUAGUUUGUUCCAGAUGCAGAGCCCGAUGUGCUUAUGGAGGCCUUUGUGCAUUUUACGUACCGUUCCUUUUCCCCUCCUCUCAUCAGAAUGCUGUUUGUAAAAGUCAUUAUCCCAUCUGCGCCGCCAGUUUGGACAAAACAGCCCGAGAAGGAUCCGGCUCGCUCCUGCUUUCCGGGAUAAUUUAGGAGUCGAGGAUGGAGAUGAUGAUGAUGAUGACGAUGGUCCACCUGUAAGCCGUCUCUGGGGCGGCAACAGGAGUUUUGCAAAACAGACCUGUGAGUGAUGGCGAGCGACACGAAGGCAGUGCGAAUGUUUUGAGUGAUUUGGCAUGAGUUCUGCUGGAUUGAAGUUAAUAAGCGUGCGAGAGAAGCGUGACUCUCGGCGUCUCCCCCCGUCCAGCCUGGAUCUCCAGAUGAGUCCUCCACGGCCCACACACACCAGAGACGAGUCUGGAUCCUCCGCUGGAGCCGCUGCACCUGUUGUUUUCAGGAGUCGGAGAAAGAUAGACACUCAUGCUCAGAGACCGUAUGGAAGGAGGGAACAGGCAAUGUGUUUUGUCGCUAAAGCCAAAAAAAAAGAUACUGACCUUUAAAUCUGCUGCUGAUAAAUGCACUUGGCCUCUCCAUGCCGGCAUCUCCUUUACCCUGGAUCUUUGAAUAUUCAUCAGGCUCUUGAGAGGUGCUGAACGAUCCAAUCACAUCCGGAACGAAGGGAAGCCCUCGGCUUUGGACUGCCUCAACGCUCUGCGUUUGAACCGGAGCUGACGGGUUAAUCAAUGCCGUGAUCAAUUCGCUUCGUACAAAUUGUUUUAUUCCAAUGGAAAAUGCAAACUGUUGUUUCUCAAGUCUUGAUUAAUUGCAUCGUUCCUGACCCACAUAUCGAAUGCUGCUUGGGAAAGCCCAAAGCUCCGAGCAGACCGUAUUGGUACAAAUUUUAUAAUAAGGUUAUGUUAUAUUGUAAAUUAACCAAGACGUAAUGCUCGGAAGGGCUUUUAUUGGAAAUGAAUAACUGAGAACGUGAAAAGGGUUACAUUGACUUAAAAUUCCAGUGUUUAAUCAGAGUCAUGCUUUCAUUGUUUUUUUUAUUAAUGCAUGCUCUAUAAAUUGUUUUCUAAAUUUAUUGUGAAGUUUCAGGAAAUAACUGUUGACCUAGAAUUACUUCAGCUUCUCUAUGCAUGCCUCUUUUUUUUUUUUAUUCCCUCAACAUUGUUAUUGCAGUCAGAGUUGUGUACAGCAGGUUCAAUCGUGAUAAUGCAAUAGGAUUCAGCCACACGUUAAUUAGCUGAGAACGACCCAAGAGAGCCAAACUGGAUAUGCUAUUACUGAGAGAAAUACAGGAACACUCAAAGACAAAUUAUACAGUGCUUGAUAAAUUAACUAAUGCCUCUCUGAUUAAAAGCCUGAAAUGCAAUCUAAUUUUUUUUUUUCUCUUCAAAUUACCAAUUUGUCAGAACAAAUGAAUCCAAUGUGCCUUCCGUUUCCGUUUGCUGAAUACAACCUACAUCUAAUUCCAUAUGACAAAAAUUCUCACCUUCCGUUCCAGCAUUCAUGCGCCAUUUUCAUUAGAGUUUGGCUUUAUUGCGUGCAAUUUAUCAAACUAAUACACUACUAUAAGCGAACGAAACCGCGAGAGCGAAACUAAUCAUUUCAAAACGCUAUUAUUUUUCAUAUACAUGUAUGAGUUGUUCAUCCAUUUAUCUGUUUAGAUGAAAGCGCUUUUAUUGUUGUUAUAAAUAUACUGUGGGAUACAAAAGUCAGAUGAUUUGCUUUAUUUUUCUAAUUUAAUGCACGGUUUUCAUUGCAAAUUAUGUUAGCGGCAUAGCCAUUUGAAUGAAAAGUAGCAUUGAAAUGACAAUGUUAUUUUAAUAUGAAUUUAUAUUUACUUACGUUAGUGCUAGAGCUGACAUGCACAAAACCUGGUGAGAGUGAAUUAAUUUCCUGCAGCUUACAUUUGACCUGUAAAAUUGUAAAGUUCA